UUCCCGCAGCUUCUCAGCCAGCAGGUCC
rnacentral:sRNA from 1 species